GGGCGUAAAGAGCUCGUAGGUGGUUUGUCGCGUUGUUCGUGAAAUCUCACGGCUUAACUGUGAGCGUGCGGGCGAUACGGGCAGACUAGAGUACUGCAGGGGAGACUGGAAUUCCUGGUGUAGCGGUGGAAUGCGCAGAUAUCAGGAGGAACACCGGUGGCGAAGGCGGGUCUCUGGGCAGUAACUGACGCUGAGGAGCGAAAGCGUGGGGAGCGAACAGGAUUAGAUACCCUGGUAGUCCACGCCGUAAACGGUGGGUACUAGGUGUGGGUUUCCUUCCUUGGGAUCCGUGCCGUAGCUAACGCAUUAAGUACCCCGCCUGGGGAGUACGGCCGCAAGGCUAAAACUC
rnacentral:rRNA from 1 species